CGUUCCCGGGCCUUGUACACACCGCCCGUCACACCAUGGGAGUCGAUUGCUCCAGAAGUCACUUCACCAAGAGGUGCCAAGGAGUGGUCGGUAACUGGGGUGAAGUCGUAACAAGGUACCC
rnacentral:rRNA from 1 species